rnacentral:lncRNA from 1 species
GAAAUUCAUUCAGAUAUUUUUGUCGUACCAGUUAGAAUAUUGUGAAACCUAUAAAAGUAAGUCCUCUUCAUCUAAAACUCUCUCUUUCUAUAUAUGAAUUCGCAUAGGCAAAAAUCAAAAUUUUCAUUUUUCAAUUUCUUUUGAUUUUAUCAAUUCCAUAAUUGAGUCCAACAAUUAAUUCAUUAUCAUUCCAUUGAUUUUGAACAAAUAUUCAGUAUUAUGUUAAGUUUUUUAUCAAAUCAUGCUGACCAAGUUUUUUAUCAACAUUAUGCUCUACAAUACCAAUUAAAAUAUUACUUUUGCCCCUCAGAAAUUCAUUCAGAUAUUUUUUUGUCGUACCAGUUAGAAUAUUGUGAAACCUAUAAAAGUAAGUCCUCUUCAUCUAAAACUCUCUCUUUCUAUAUAUGAAUUAAUGAAGAUGAAAUCGCGGUCAGCAAGGAAACCCCAGAUGGUCUCUAACCCGGAAAUGGACGCGGCCUUGCAGCUGAUUCAACUCAGCGGCGAUUCCGAUUACAGCAAAGAAAACCACGGCGGUCACGCCACCAAAUCGGUGGAGCAAAACCGAGAGGAAAGCGUGGGUGAUUCUAAUGAAAUUUCCUCCACCUUUAUCAGAGAACUGAAGACUUGUCCCAAAAGAAAAAGGAGAUAUAGAUCAAUUGAUGAUCUAUACAGCGUUACGAAGCCCGUGAUCAUCAAGAAGCGUGGUAAGAAAAUCAGGAAUUGAAAUAUGCCCCUUUCAUCUUUUGAAGACCAAGAGAUAAUUUCCUCCUUUUUUUCCCCUAUUAGAUAUGUGCUGUAAAUAAAUGUACAGAAGAUGAACAAACUGGAAAAAUAAACUAUAAAGUUAGCCAACAAGCUCUAAUUGUUUGUGCUAUUUCUUUUUUUCCUUUCUGCCGGGAAACAUUGAAGAGUUUUUUUUCUAAAUUAUCAUAAUCGGCACGUCGCAAAGUUGGUUUUUU